rnacentral:rRNA from 1 species
AGUGAACGCUGGCGGUAGGCCUAACACAUGCAAGUCGAACGGCAGCACAGUAAGAGCUUGCUCUUACGGGUGGCGAGUGGCGGACGUGUGAGGAAUACAUCGGAAUCUACUUUUUCGUGGGGGAUAACGUAGGGAAACUUACGCUAAUACCGCAUACGACCUACGGGUGAAAGCAGGGGAUCUUCGGACCUUGCGCGAUUGAAUGAGCCGAUGUCGGAUUAGCUAGUUGGCGGGGUAAAGGCCCACCAAGGCGACGAUCCGUAGCUGGUCUGAGAGGAUGACCAGCCACACUGGAACUGAGAAACGGUCCAGACUCCUACGGGAGGCAGCAGUGGGGAAUAUUGGCCAAUGGGGGCAAGCCUGAUCCAGCCAUACCGCGUGGGUGAAGAAGGCCUUCGGGUUGUAAAGCCCUUUUGUUGGGAAAGAAAAGCAGCAGGUUAAUACCCCGCUGUUCUGACGGUACCCAAAGAAUAAGCACCGGCUAACUUCGUG